rnacentral:rRNA from 1 species
CACGUAGGGUGCGAGCGUUGUCCGGAAUUAUUGGGCGUAAAGAGCUCGUAGGCGGUCUGUUGCGUCGGCUGUGAAAACCCGGGGCUCAACUCCGGGCCUGCAGCCGAUACGGGCAGACUAGAGUUCGGCAGGGGAGACUGGAAUUCCUGGUGUAGCGGUGAAAUGCGCAGAUAUCAGGAGGAACACCGGUGGCGAAGGCGGGUCUCUGGGCCGAUACUGACGCUGAGGCACGAAAGCCAGGGGAGCAAACGGG